GGACCAUAUUUCAGUGGUCAAGAAUGUAAGCAUUUGCUUUGUAUGUGGAAGGUCUCAGGUUCAAUCCCUGGCAUCACCA